rnacentral:lncRNA from 1 species
AUGGCCUCCAAUAAAACUGCAUUGCAAAGAAUGGGAAAGAAACAGAAUGGAAAGAGUAACAACAAAGUUGACGAGUGAGAGCCUGAAGAAUGUGUGGUGGAGAAAGUACUGGACUGUCGUAUAGUGAACGGGAAGGUGGAGUAUUUCCUGACGUGGAAGGGGUUCACAGAUUCUGGUAAUACUUAGGGACCAGGAGAAAAUUUAGAUUCUCCAGAAUUAAUUGAAGCAUUUCUUAAUUCUCAAGAAUCUGGUAAAGAAAAAGAUGGUACAAAAAUGAUAUCUUUAUCCUACAGUGAAUCUGAUGAUAGUAAAUUGAAGAAGAGAGAAGCUGCUGACAAACCAAGGGCUUUGCCAGAGGUCUUGAUCCUGAAGGGAUAAUCGGUGCCAUGGACAGCAGUGGAGAAUUAAUGUUUCUCAUGAAAUGGAAGGACUCAGAUGAGGCGGACUUGGUACAGGCAAAGGAGGCAAAUAUGAUAUGUCCUCAGAUUGUAAUUUCCUUCUAUGAGGAGAGGCUGACUUGGCAUUCUUGACCCGAAGAUGACACACAA